GAUGAACGCUGGCGGCGUGCCUAAUACAUGCAAGUCGAGCGAACGGACGAGAAGCUUGCUUCUCUGAUGUUAGCGGCGGACGGGUGAGUAAAACGUGGAUAACCUACCUAUAAGACUGGGAUAACUUCGGGAAACCGGAGCUAAUACCGGAUAAUAUUUUGAACCGCAUGGUUCAAAAGUGAAAGACGGUCUUGCUGUCACUUAUAGAUGGAUCCGCGCUGCAUUAGCUAGUUGGUAAGUUAACGGCUUACCAAGGCAACGAUGCAUAGCCGACCUGAGAGGGUGAUCGGCCACACUGGAACUGAGACACGGUCCAGACUCCUACGGGAGGCAGCAGUAGGGAAUCUUCCGCAAUGGGCGAAAGCCUGACGGAGCAACGCCGCGUGAGUGAUGAAGGUCUUCGGAUCGUAAAACUCUGUUAUUAGGGAAGAACAUAUGUGUAAGUAACUGUGCACAUCUUGACGGUACCUAAUCAGAAAGCCACGGCUAACUACGU
rnacentral:rRNA from 1 species